AUACGGAGGGUGCAAGCGUUACUCGGAAUCACUGGGCGUAAAGCGCGCGCAGGCGGUCUUUUAAGUUGGAUGUGAAAGCCUACGGCUCAACCGUAGAACUGCAUCCAAAACUGUCAGUCUAGAGUGUGGGAGAGGAAGAUGGAAUUGGUUGUGUAGGGGUAAAAUCCGUAGAGAUAACUAGGAAUACCAAAAGCGAAGGCAAUCUUCUGGAACACUACUGACGCUGAGGCGCGAAGGCGUGGGGAGCAAACAGGAUUAGAGACCCCGGUAGUCC
rnacentral:rRNA from 1 species